rnacentral:rRNA from 1 species
AACGAACGCUGGCGGCAUGCCUAACACAUGCAAGUCGAACGAAGCCUUCGGGCUUCGUGGCGCACGGGCGCGUAACGCGCGGGAAUCUGCCCUUUGGUUCGGAAUAACAGUUGGAAACGACUGCUAAUACCGGAUGAUGACGAAAGUCCAAAGAUUUAUCUCCAGAGGAUGAGCCCGCGUAGGAUUAGCUAGUUGGUGUGGUAAAGGCGCACCAAGGCGACGAUCCUUAGCUGGUCUGAGAGGAUGAUCAGCCACACUGGGACUGAGACACGGCCCAGACUCCUACGGGAGGCAGCAGUGGGGAAUAUUGGACAAUGGGCGAAAGCCUGAUCCAGCAAUGCCGCGUGAGUGAUGAAGGCCCUAGGGUUGUAAAGCUCUUUUACCCGGGAUGAUAAUGACAGUACCGGGAGAAUAAGCCCCGGCUAACUCCGUGCCAGCCGCCGCAGUAA